rnacentral:rRNA from 1 species
GCUCAGUAACACGUGGUUAAUCUGCCCUAAGGUGGAGGAUACUCCCGGGAAACUGGGGUUAAUACUCCAUAGUUGAUAUAACCUGGAAUGGUAUAUCAUCGAAAGAUCCGUCGCCUUAGGAUGAGACUGCGUCCGAUUAGGUAGUUGGUGGGGUAACGGCCCACCAAGCCUGUCAUCGGUACGGGUUGUGGGAGCAAGAUCCCGGAGAUGGAUUCUGAGACAUGAAUCCAGGCCCUACGGGGCGCAGCAGGCGCGCAAACUUUACAAUGCGAGCAAUCGUGAUAAGGAAACCCUGAGUGCCUGUUGAUGCAGGCUGUUCAUUAGUUUAAAUUGCUGGUGAAGAAAGGGCAGGGCAAGACCGGUGCCAGCCGCCGCGGUAAUACCGGCUGCUCGAGUGAUGGCCACUAUUACUGGGUUUAAAGCGUCCGUAGCUUGAUUGUUAGGUCUCUUGGGAAAUCUUCAGGCUUAACCUUAAGGCAUCUAAGAGAUACCGGCAAUCUUGGGACUGGGAGAGGUAAACCGUACUUCGGGGGUAGGAGUGAAAUCUUGUAAUCCUCGAGGGACGACCUAUGGCGAAGGCAGUUUACCAGAACAGCUUCGACAGUGAGGGACGAAAGCUGGGGGAGCAAACGGGAUUAGAUACCCCGGUAGUCCCAGCCGUAAACAAUGUGCGUUAGGUGUAUCGGCAACCACGCGUUACUGAUGCGCCGCAGAGAAAUCGUGAAACGCACCACCUGGGAAGUAUGGUCGCAAGGCUGAAACUUAAAGGAAUUGGCGGGGGAGCACCACAACAGGUGGAGCCUGCGGUUUAAUUGGAUUC